rnacentral:rRNA from 1 species
AUGUGGAGCGCUUAGAAGUGAGAAUGCCGGUGUGAGUAGCGAAAGACGGGUGAGAAUCCCGUCCACCGAUUGACUAAGGUUUCCAGAGGAAGGCUCGUCCGCUCUGGGUUAGUCGGGUCCUAAGCUGAGGCCGACAGGCGUAGGCGAUGGAUAACAGGUUGAUAUUCCUGUACCACCAUUAUUCGUUUUAAGCGAUGGGGGGACGCAGUAGGAUAGGCGAAGCGUGCUGUUGGAGUGCACGUCCAAGCAGUGAGAUUGAGUGUUAGGCAAAUCCGGCACUCUUAAGAUUGAGCUGUGAUGGGGAGAGGAACUUGUUCCUCGAGUCGUUGAUUUCACACUGCCGAGAAAAGCCUCUAGCUAGAAUAACGGUGCCCGUACCGCAAACCGACACAGGUAGUCAAGAUGAGAAUUCUAAGGUGAGCGAGCGAACUCUCGUUAAGGAACUCGGCAAAAUGACCCCGUAACUUCGGGAGAAGGGGUGCUCUUUGAGGUUCACGCUUCGAAGAGCCGCAGUGAAUAGGCCCAAGCGACUGUUUAUCAAAAACACAGGUCUCUGCUAAACCGUAAGGUGACGUAUAGGGGCUGACGCCUGCCCGGUGCUGGAAGGUUAAGAGGAGUGGUUAGCGCAAGCGAAGCUACGAAUCGAAGCCCCAGUAAACGGCGGCCGUAACUAUAACGGUCCUAAGGUAGCGAAAUUCCUUGUCGGGUAAGUUCCGACCCGCACGAAAGGCGUAACGAUUUGGGCACUGUCUCAACGAGAGACUCGGUGAAAUCAUAGUACCGGUGAAGAUGCCGGUUACCCGCGACAGGACGGAAAGACCCCGUGGAGCUUUACUGUAGCCUGAUAUUGAAAUUCGGUACAGUUUGUACAGGAUAGGUAGGAGCCUUAGAAGCGUGAGCGCUAGCUUACGUGGAGGCAUUGGUGGGAUACUACCCUAAUUGUAUUGGAUUUCUAACCCGCAGCACUUAUCGUGCUGGGAGACAGUGUCAGGCGGGCAGUUUGACUGGGGCGGUCGCCUCCUAAAGAGUAACGGAGGCGCUCAAAGGUUCCCUCAGAAUGGUUGGAAAUCAUUCAUAGAGUGUAAAGGCAUAAGGGAGCUUGACUGCGAGACCUACAAGUCGAGCAGGGUCGAAAGACGGACUUAGUGAUCCGGUGGUUCCGCAUGGAAGGGCCAUCGCUCAACGGAUAAAAGCUACCCCGGGGAUAACAGGCUUAUCUCCCCCAAGAGUUCACAUCGACGGGGAGGUUUGGCACCUCGAUGUCGGCUCAUCGCAUCCUGGGGCUGUAGUCGGUCCCAAGGGUUGGGCUGUUCGCCCAUUAAAGCGGUACGCGAGCUGGGUUCAGAACGUCGUGAGACAGUUCGGUCCCUAUCCGUCGUGGGCGUAGGAAAUUUGAGAGGAGCUGUCCUUAGUACGAGAGGACCGGGAUGGACAUACCUCUGGUGUACCAGUUGUCGUGCCAACGGCAUAGCUGGGUAGCUAUGUAUGGACGGGAUAAGUGCUGAAAGCAUCUAAGCAUGAAGCCCCCCUCGAGAUGAGAUUUCCCAACUUCGGUUAUAAGAUCCCUCAAAGAUGAUGAGGUGAAUAGGUUCGAGGUGGAAGCGUAGCGAUACGUGGAGCUGACGAAUACUAAUCGAUCGAAGACUUAAUCAA